GGGUCAGUAGGUUGGUCGUGCCACCGGUACGUACUGGUCUCACUGAUUCCUCCUUCCUGAAGGACCGUAAUGCCAUUAAUUUGGUGUUGCGGGGAAACAGGACUGUUACUUUGAAAAAAUUAGAGUGCUUAAAGCAAGCUAACGCUUGAAUACAUUAGCAUGGAAUAAUGAAGUAGGACGAUCGAUCCUAUUUUGUCGGUUUCUAGGAUUGACGUA
rnacentral:rRNA from 1 species